UCGGGGCUCAUUCACUCAGCUCAUGAAUUUGACUGUGUGGUGAGUCCAUCUGCAGAUGGUUGGAUUAAACUUACCGAAAAGACAGAUCUGACUUUACUCUUUUAUUGACAGAAAUUUCCACCACAAUUUUGGCGACGAGGAUGGGAUCACUUCUGUGAGAGAGUGCCUUAAACUCAGUGCAGACGGUUCAAAGGGUACCCGGGAGCUCGGACUCCAAAACCUCAACCUCGCCAUCAAAGGAGCAGAGACGUGAGGGCCUGACGCCUGAGACAAGGUGGCUCGCUCACAGCUGUGAUCUACAGAACCGUGUGGAAGCUGUCUUCUCGGUCAAGGACGCUCUGCCUGCCCCAGCAGCCCACAAACUGCAUGAUUUGGAGCCAGGGGAUUGGGUCGUCAUUCGAGAUCUCAGGAGAAAGAACUGGAGAGCUCGCAGAUGGAACGGUCCGUUCCAAGUGUUUCUGACCACGGAGACGGCAGUGAAGAUCGCAGAGAGAGCCACCUGGGUUCACGCCAGCCACUGCAAACGGGUUCCAGAGCCAGCGGACGACACCUCACAGAGCGUGCUUAUUGUAGAAUAAUCAUGACUGAUGUUUGAGCAUGUCUUU